AUUGAACGCUGGCGGCAUGCUUUACACAUGCAAGUCGAACGGUAACAGGCCGCAAGGUGCUGACGAGUGGCGAACGGGUGAGUAAUGCAUCGGAACGUGCCCAGUCGUGGGGGAUAACUACUCGAAAGAGUAGCUAAUACCGCAUACGAUCUAUGGAUGAAAGCGGGGGACCGUAAGGCCUCGCGCGAUUGGAGCGGCCGCUGUCAGAUUAGGUAGUUGGUGGGGUAAAGGCUCACCAAGCCAACGAUCUGUAGCUGGUCUGAGAGGACGACCAGCCACACUGGGACUGAGACACGGCCCAGACUCCUACGGGAGGCAGCAGUGGGGAAUUUUGGACAAUGGGCGCAAGCCUGAUCCAGCAAUGCCGCGUGCAGGAAGAAGGCCUUCGGGUUGUAAACUGCUUUUGUACGGAACGAAACGGCUCUGGUUAAUACCCGGGGCUAAUGACGGUACCGUAAGAAUAAGCACCGGCUAACUACGUG
rnacentral:rRNA from 1 species